CCUACGGGCGACUGCAGUGAGGAAUAUUGGUCAAUGGACGAGAGUCUGAACCAGCCAAGUAGCGUGAAGGAUGACUGCCCUAUGGGUUGUAAACUUCUUUUAUAUGGGAAUAAAACGUUCCACGUGUGGGAUUUUGUAUGUACCAUAUGAAUAAGGAUCGGCUAACUCCGUGCCAGCAGCCGCGGUAAUACGGAGGAUCCGAGCGUUAUCCGGAUUUAUUGGGUUUAAAGGGAGCGUAGGUGGAUUGUUAAGUCAGUUGUGAAAGUUUGCGGCUCAACCGUAAAAUUGCAGUUGAAACUGGCAGUCUUGAGUACAGUAGAGGUGGGCGGAAUUCGUGGUGUAGCGGUGAAAUGCUUAGAUAUCACGAAGAACUCCGAUUGCGAAGGCAGUUCACUGGACUGCAACUGACACUGAGGCUCGAAAGUGUGGGUAUCAAACAGGAUUAGAUACCCCUGUAGUC
rnacentral:rRNA from 1 species